GAUGAACGCUGGCGGCGUGCCUUAUACAUGCAAGUCGAGUGGGUUUAGACCCACGGCAAACGGGUGAGUAACACGUAGGUACUUUCCUUGUCACAGGAAUAACCCUCCGAAAGGAGGGCUAAUACCUGAUGUGAUCGCAAGAUUAAAGGGUAUCCGCAAGGAUUACCGGACAAGAAGAGGCCUGCGGCCUAUCAGCUAGUUGGCGGGGUAAAUGCCCACCAAGGCUAUGACGGGUAGCUGGUCUUAUGAGGAUGAUCAGUCACAUGGGCACUGAGACACGGGCCCAAAUCCUACGGGAGGCAGCAGUAGGGAAUUUUGCGCAAUGGGCGAAAGCCUGACGCAGCGACGCAGCGUGCGGGAUGAAGGCCUUCGGGUCGUAAACCGCUUUUAUAAGGGACGAACUUUGACGGUACCUUAUGAAUAAGAGGUUGCUAACUCUGUG
rnacentral:rRNA from 1 species